UACAGAGGUCCCAAGCGUUGUUCGGAUUUACUGGGCGUAAAGGGUGCGUAGGUGGUCGGGUAAGUCUCAUGUGAAAUCCCGCAGCUUAACUGCGGAACGGCAUGGGAUACUAUUCGGCUCGAGGAUUGGAGGGGGGACUGGAAUUCCCGGUGUAGCAGUGAAAUGCGUAGAUAUCGGGAGGAACACCAGUGGCGAAGGCGAGUCCCUGGACAAUUCCUGACGCUGAGGCACGAAAGCCAGGGGAGCAAACCGG
rnacentral:rRNA from 1 species